CACCGCGGUUAUACGAGAGACCCAAGUUGACAGACAAUCGGCGUAAAGAGUGGUUAAGUACUAAAUCUUACUAAAGCCAAACACCUUCAAAGCUGUUAUACGCACCCGAAGGUUAGAAGCCCAAUCACGAAAGUGGCUUUAAACUAACUGAACCCACGAAAGCUAGGGCA
rnacentral:rRNA from 2 species